CAGCACUGCCCCUCCGCUCCCCUCGUGAGGGGCUACAGCUGCUGUGAGGCCUCCCCUCACCUCCUCUGCUCUGGGCUCAACUAACCCAGGAUAUGUGUCAUAUGCUUGCACACUCAGACUAGAGCGUUACACCCCAGGACUGGGGAAGAGAGGAAAAGCAAGAGAAGGACAAUGUGCCCUGAGUGCAUUACACUUAAUUGGCAUUCACAAGACAUACAGCCAUGUCAGUACUUCUGUUUUAAGUUCUUAAAGAAGUGAAUAUAUGCAACAGUUUUGUAACGGAGAAAGUAAUUCAGAAGGUUAGUUUCUAUGUACAUUUAGGACUUAAAAAGUGUAACAAGUGCAAGUAAGAAAAUCUUUGAGACUUCAGUGCAAAAUAUAAUACUCUUCAGUAAGAGUACACCUGAAACAGUCUUGACAAGUGAAAAUAUUACCAAAUAGUACCUUAAGUCCUGCUUAAAUGACUACAAGAGAAAUGUACAGCAGUAGGAAAAACUUUGCUGUGGGCAUCUUAGCUCAGCUUAUCCAGGUUUGUUCAGCUUAGCCCAGGGAUGGCUCAGAGCAGCUCCCUUGCUUCAAGAAAAUAUCCCAAGCUAAAUGUUUGACAGAACAGUUCAGUGGUUCUUGAAAUGCUGGAAGAAAAAGAUACAUCCUUCAAAGCUUCAGUUAGACAAUAGGACUUUCCAGAACUUGUGCCUCCAUUUCUAUUGCUUGAGAGUGGCAUUUCCAAAUCUUGCUUCCCUGAGGCAGCAUCUGAAGAAUUUGGGAAGGAUUCCAAAUGAAUCAGAAACUUAAAGUGGACUGGUCUCCAGAAAGAGUUCUCUGUGCAAUGCCUCCUGAAUAGGAAUAUGGUUUAGCUACAUCAGCAUGAGAGCUCUCUGCAUGACAGUGUACCACAGUGGGCUGGUGCUCAGAGAUGGCACUCAUGAAAGCUGGAGCAGAUUUGCUGAAAAACUGCUAGUCCCAAAAUAGAUGAUGACUGAUGUAUUGAAAAGCGCUACAUGUGUCUGUAAACAGCAGAUGAAGCAGGGCCGUAGAUGCUAAAGCAAUGGGAGAUUUCCUUGAGCAGCCCACUGAUUGCAUUUCUAUGUGUUGACGGUUUGUUGUAGCUAUUUCAUGCAAUGUUGUUCACACCAGUGGGUUGAAAGAGGGAGAGAAGGAAUGAUAAUUCUUGCCAAACUGUUUUGCAUUGUGGAGGAACUUCUGUGAGUGUCAUAUGAAAUUAAAGUAUCAGAGGACUUGUGGGUGGUGUGAUAAUUUUGAUAGCACUCCACUGAAGGGAGACAAAAUGUACUCCUUGGACAGCCACAUGCCUUAGUAGCACAGAGACAUAUUUGUUUCAUGUACUUAAUAUUCAGCAUUGUAGAUAAGGGGAAGAAAAAUAUGUACUAAAACACUUCCUCUGAAUGUUACUUUCAGCACACACUGCCUUCUAUAAGGAAAAAAAGGAAGAUGUUAAGACAAUAAGAUAAAUGCUAUUCUUAACUGUCUUGGGUCACUGUUAAGCAAAUGUCUCGUUCAUUGCUUCAUUUCCACCAGAGGUCAAUGAAUUGAAUUACAGUACUUUUAUAGCUGCAUCUGUCUGAGCCCACUUUGGAAAUGUUAACUCAUUAGCAGGAAAAUUGUCUGAAAUGUUCCAGUUUGCUUAUGUGUGGCUCAGCACAACCAAUAUGCAGGAAAAUCAUAAUUUUUUCCUCUUAAACUGCAGAAGUAGGACUACUGUGAACUUUCUGCAUCUGGAUCAUACCAUGGGAUCAGGACCACAUAACAUGAUGGAUUGCAGCCUAGUUGCAAAGCAGCCCUGGAGGAUGAGUGUUGUCUGUGUGUAGGAGGGUCCACACAGCUUGACUGUCUCACAAGGUUGCUGUUGUUUGUUUUUUUCCAGCUGAGCAAUUUACACUAUGAACUCUCAUAACAUUGCAACAUGUGCAUUUCUCCCAUUACUUUCCUCCUCCACCCAUGUGAAUCAGUGAAGACUUUCAUAGAAAGGAAAAGAGAAUUUACUUGGCAAGUACUUGGGAGUCUCUUAGAGUGAAGGAGGGAUGGAAGUGCAUGUUCAAAUGAAUUAUCCUGCUUUUGUCAGCGUGUUGUUGCGUUUGAUCCUGAAGCACCAGAGCGAAGCACAGUGCAGAUAUAAAGUCAUACAAACAGGAGUAGUUAUUGGCUGAAAUGCAAGCCCUCCGCGUUCACAGAUUGAGGUUGAAGGUGGUGCAGUUGGAAUUUUCAAGGUGUGCUCUCUUCUUCUGGUUCUAGAGGUUACAGCUGAUAUUCUACAUCAAGACGUUCCUCUACAUUUAGCAUUGGUGCAGCUUCAUCUUUAAUAUUGUGAGCAGUUCUGGGCUGCACAGUAUUAAAACAAUGUUCAGGUACUUGAAUGCAUCCAGAGGAAGGCAACCAAACCGAAAAUGGACUGGAAGGUAUGUCCUGUGCGGAGGGGCUGAGGGCACAUGGGCUGUCUAGUCUGGAGGAGUCAGAAAGACAACCUCACUGCUCUCUGCAGCACCCUGAGAAGGGGAUGCAGAGAAAGGUGCUGGGCUCUGCUCAUGGGAACUGAUGGCAGGGUGGGAAUGGCACAGAGCUGCACCAGAGGAGGUUCAGAUGGGCACUGGGAAACAUUUCUUUACUGCGUGGGUGGUCAAACGCUGGAACAAGUUUCCCAGAAUUACAGAAUCAUAGAGAUUGGAACAGACCUCUUGAAAUGAUCUGGUCCAACCCCCUGCUAAAGCAGGUUCCCUACAAUAGGUCACACGAGACAACAUCCAGGGAGGUUUUUACUAUCACUAGAGGAGAUUCCACAACAUCUCUGGGCAACCUGUUCCAGUAAUCUGUCACCCUCAAAGUAAAGAAGCUUUUUGUCAUGUUCAGGUAGAAUUUCCUGUGUUCCAGUUUGUGCACAUUGCCUCUUGUUCCAUUACUGGCAGAGCAGAUGAGCACGAUCACCCCCCUCAACCUGCUGGCCAUGCACCCCAGGAUACCAUUGGCCAACUUACUGUCCACCAGGGCACCCAGAUUCUCCUCUGCAGAACUCCUCCCCAGCAAGUCAGCCCCUAACCUGUACUGAUGCAUGUUGUUAUUCCUCCUCAGGUGUAGGACUCUCAUUUGCCCCCAAGUUCCUCUCCACCCAACCCUCUGGGCUCUGUGAGUCAGUCAGCUCUCAUUCACCUUCCUAGUGAUGCAUUUGGACAAUGCUUUCAUUAACAAUGCCCUCAUUGAACGUUCUUUAACUUUGAUGGUUGGACUAGAUUAUCUUAGAGCUCUUUUGCAACCUUAAUGGUUCUGUGGUUUUGUUUAGCACUGAAGAGGUCAGGCAGUUGGACUAGAUGAUCUUGAAAGAGCCCUCCUAACUACACUAUUUCACUGUAUUACUGUGUAUAAGCCAGACAUGCAGACAUCUGAGUGUUCUCAGACUUGCUGAAAGCAAUUUCCAGCUGCUUCCUACCAUUCUUUGGAGGACAAGACAUUAUACAGAAUGUCUGAAUGACAACCAACACAUGUCAGUUACAGUACUGCAUACUUGCUGAUCCAGCUGUGGUAUAUCAUUGGCCAGAUACGAUACUACAUCUUCUGAGUGUGCAUGGUCACUGUGAAAGUGCUUACAAAAAUAAGGGCAUCCCUGUGUUCACACACAGACUCUAAUCAGAUCAUACUGGAAAGCAGCUUGUAGAGAAAGACCUGAGAGUCUUGAUGGAUAACUAAGCACAGAACAGCAGUGCAUCCUCAUGGUAGAGAAGGCCAACAGCAUCCUGAACUCUAUCGGGAAGAGUGUGACCGUUUGAGGGAAACGAACCUUCCUACAGAGAUGCAUCUGGAGCAAUAGGCUUAGCUUACUGAAGAACAACUGGUCUUGUUUUGUGAAUAUAUAAAACAGUAGAGGAUUUUCUUACAAUCUUCACUGUUUUGCAAGCAAUACUCUGUGGUAGUUGACAUGAGGAUGUUCUACUGCAGCCCCUGCUGGGUGUUAGAAGAUUAUGUUCUUCAAUGGCUAUCUCCUUGGAGAUCUCACGAGAAAGCUGUAGGCAAUUAUUUGUUGUUACAAGUUAGGCUUCCGUGGAUUGCAUCAAGUAUUCUACUAGCAGCUCUCUUGAUAUGUAUGAUGGGUCUGUUUUGCCAGAAUGUGCAUUUUUUUUCUAUGCCAAGAGGUAGUAACAUCUGAUUCCCUAAACUACGUUAUACUCUGGGGAGGAAAACAAAUAUAUGUUUCAUUUGGCUUAGGCUCUCGGGACUUGACAGACUUUUUCACAACGUAGUAAACUACGAUCCACUAUGUUUGCCAUGAAGGCUGGUUAGUCUAGGCAAAAAAAAAAAAAAAAAAAGAGAGAGAGAAAAAUAUGCGAGUAAUUCACAGAUUUCAGAUAUUGUCUGGGAAGAACCAGGGUAUUCAGCAGAGCCAAGCAGCCCAGCUGCUUCCACUCCUACUCAUACUUGGAGAUGGACAUUGAGGGGAUGCUUCAAAAGAGCUCUAGUAAGGCUGCAGUUCAGUCUUCCAUGGUGCAUUUCAACACAGUGACAGCUUUGACUGAAAUUUGGCUGCAGUGUUGUGUAAAGUGAGACCUCAGCAAGGCAAUAAAACCUACACAGAUGAAACUCUACUAUAAUGAAUAUGAAUGAUAAAUGCCUCAACAAAUUUCCAACCCUGUUUAUCCACCCAGCAUCAGAGAAAUUGUGUAACUGGCUGAGUGAUAAUGGUAAUUGUUGUACAGUCAGGAAUGGCAUAUAUCUGAUCAACUUGUGCUUGCUGUUUCUAGAACAAUUCUAAAGAGAUGCACAAUUCUCCCCUUUCCAACUGCAAAACUUAAGAUCUCCAUCACUUUCAAUCUCACGUAUGCUUGUAGAAAAAACAAAAACAAUGAUUCUCUGGAACAAAUGUUUCUAAUCGUAGAACUCUGCAUUUGCACCCAUUAACAGCUGGAUCUGUAUUUUUUCUAAAUCUUCUUUUAAUUAUCUCCCAAACUUUUGCUUCUGUAGUGAUAUAAUUGGCCUUGUGGGCUUGGAAGCCACACAGAAGUGCACGCUACUUGUCGAUGGCUGCAGUUGUGCAUAAAACUUGAUAAGACUGAGGGUUGAGUUUUUAUGCUUUGGAAAGACUGGCAUCGCCUGGUCAUUACAGCCAUGUAAUCCAGUUGCUUUGUAAGACCGCUCGCUUUACAAGACCUCAAGACUAAUCCUCAUCAGGCUUUACUUGAAUUUGUCUUUGCCAGCAUAGAGCUUUAGUUUAGUUUGCAAGAUUUUUUUAAACUAUAAGGAGGCUAUUGCAUAAUUUGCUCUUGCUUAGUUUUCUACAAGCACGUGGAAUUAUCAUAAUUUUAUACCGAUGAUUAUAGCAAGUAGUUAUUAAAAUGAAAUACUUGUCUUUAGCAUAAUGUAGCAUGGAGGAGUGUAGUCACUGUGUGACGGGAGAUGCCACUAGAAAGAGCACUGGAAGUGGCGUACAGGCAUAGAGGCAUGGGGAGAUAAAAGUGUCAGAGAAUGGGUCUGGAGCCCUCAGAGCUAUCAGCAACUUAACAAUACUUGGUUAAAUAACUGAGUAGCUUGACAAAGCCAGUUCUGGUGGUAACAAAGGAAAGGGACAGGUAUCCAGUAUAUUUUAGAUCUGCAUAUACUGGAGUCUGCUGAUAAUACUGAGUUCAAAAUCAACAAUGAAAGAUUAAGGAGUAACGCUGUGUUAGGAAAUGUAGAAAAAUUCUUAAAUAUAGGCUUAUACAGAGAGAGAAAAGAAUCCACCACCAACAUAAUGCUCAGCAAAAGGCAAAAAAAAAAAAAAAAAAAAAAAAGCAAACAAAUCCAAAACGUCAUGAGCAUCGUGCUCCUCCUAGCAAAGGAGUCAGGAUGCUAGCAAAUUUGUUGCAGCCCCCACAGCUUAUUCUUCAAGAUGACUUACUGUCACACUUAGGAGCUGAAGGAGCAGGAUAAGGAAUAACAUAGCACCAGACAAUGCUUUUGUAUAGCAAUCCUUUACUGUAUUACUGAGAUGAGCAUUGAAUUAUUUAGAUAAUUUGUAAUCUCAGUGUUAGCAUCAUUAUAACUGAAAUCUAAUAACAAUUUAUUGUAUUUUAGUUAGGCUGUUAAGAUUUUAAUUAGUCUAACAAUAAGUGCUUAGCUUUCUAAAUGAAGCAUUUCCCCUUUUGCCCGUAAUAAGAUUCUGAGUGCAAUAGCUUGUCACAAAGGUGCUACGCGAAUCGAGGAGCGAUGAGCAUGUUCACAGAAAUACAAAGGACUGUGCUGAUGCACGGAAGGAGAUCAUGGAGAGGAAAAGACAAAGCCAGAAUGAUCUUCAUCUGAGGUGACUAAUGAUAGAAUGCUUGCGCUGUAUUACUUAUGUUAUUUUAGCAGUCUCCUGAGAAAUCCAGUGGGAGGUAUUCCUGGUGAUGUAUGAAAGAAGCCAAAAGAAAUAACAGCUGUCUAAAAGAAUUUUUCUGCAUUAGGUAAAGAGGGGAUAUGAUGAGGGGGAAAAAAUGUUCAGUUGAGAUGGCUUGCAUAAUUCAUUCCAAUUUCUGCUGCUAGUUUUGUUCACAGUUGAUUUGCUUCAUACCAUUUGCAGGAGGGGAAACACUAAAGACCUGAUUCUUUAAUGUUCCCUGUAUAUUCUUGGUAACUUUUUUCCAGCUGGGUAGUUUCAGCAACAUGAUGGAGUUGGGAAGUUGCUUUGAAGCUGACAUCAAAUAGUGCCAGCCACAAACCUAAUCAGCACCUUCUGACAGAUUCAGUGCCAUAGUGUAAUAAGACUGUGGGUAAUCCAUGCAGAAUCUGACCUUCUUGAUAAUUACUGAAAUUCCAGGCCAUAUCUUUCUCAUGGAAAUAUGAUCAUACAACUUGUAAUAGCCACAGUGUUUUAGGACAAUUUAAAUCAUACAUACUUGGUCCUGGCACCAGAAAUUACUGUGAAACAAUUUUUGACAAUUCCUGAGCAGCAACGAAAACUUGUUUUCUUAUUUGGAUGUAAUAAAAUGCUGUAAGCUUUACACAGAAGCUUCAUUUUAUACAGGUUUUUUGGCUUUCACUGAGACACUCAUCUAAAACUGAUGAGUGUGACUUAAGGCCACGGGGAGUGAAAGGUUGCUUGUUUGCCUUGCAAGUAUUUGGAAACCAGCCUUUGUUUUCUUAAUAUCUGAUCUUGGAUUUGGGGAAUGUUGUAUCCGUAAGGCAUAAAUAUUUAAGUAAACAAAACAAUAGCAUGAAAACUCAAAAAAUGAACAAGUAAACCCGAAGACAAAUGGGAAUGUGCUUGCUGAUAAGCAAAAAACUCAAUCUGGGACUAACUUGCAUACACACAGAUAUUUCCUUGAUGCUUACAGUUAAAUAAAUUUCAUAUUAGUUCACUAAAAUCUUAAAUAUUUAAUUUGAAUUAAUCUUUUCAUGGUAAAGUUAGGGAAGAAAGUUUUUGUUGUUUUGGGUAUCUGUGAAAGAAGCUUCAGUUUCUUCCAAAACAAAUUUUAGGAAAAGAAAAAAAAUCUAAAAUGACUUAAUUUGUUCAAGUCAAUUUUCUGUUCACCCCCAGGAAAAUACUGUUCAUUUUACCAGUGAUGAAAACCACUCUGUAGUUCAAUAGUUCUCAUGGCUUUUGAGUUUCAGUAAAGGCUAGCAGCACUAGAGGCAUAACAGUAAGCCAUCAUGUAGCUGCCAAGCAGGAAGAGAAAUGAGGUUGGAAAUAGUACAAAAAAAGCUCCCAUGACUCUUUCAGAACACACUGGUGUGGAAGGAACAGGUUUAGACUGUGUUCUUCAUGAGCAUUGCUUCAGACCUCGCCUUGGUGUUGGCUUUUGGGGGGGCUCAUAGUUCAGAUAUUGUAUGAUUCUAAGAGGGUGGCUGUCUCUUCUUGACCUGCACAGCUGAUGCCUGGGUAAUGUCCUUGUUCUGCUUUGGCUGUGAUAGGCUUUGGGGGUAGCAAAAAGCCUGACUGCUAACUGGAAAAGCAGUGUACACAGCUUGGGGUGGUCUGGAGGGGCGAACUUGGCUGUCCUGUUGUGGAAGGCAGCUUAGUUUCAGGGGUGUGUGGCAGGGUGAGGUGAGAUUAAUCCCAUGCUGUGCUGUCCAGUAUCCCUGAGUUUGUCACAUGGUAUUAUCUUGUCCCAGCAGCCCUUAGCUUAGGGCAAAGACAAAAUAUGGGAAGAGGGACUGGUGCAAGAGCACCAAGUACUCAGCUGGGUCUGGUGUUUUGGGAAGCUGUUAGGAGUAGUACUGAGGGUCCCUUCUGGUUGUGGUAGCAACCUCUGAGCUUGGGGCCAGGCAUGGAGACCCCCUAGGUGCAUUGCUGUCCUCUGGUAUGAGGGAAACAAGCAUCCUCCAGGAGGAGUGUGAAAUUCUUUGUGCUGAGCCUGCUAAAGGGAAUGGCUUCGACCUAAAUGUGAUGCCCCAGCAGCAUAAGCAAAUAGGGCAAAGUAGAGAAAUCCAGAGAAGAUCCUUGUGCUUUGGGUUAUAUUCCAUGGAUUGAGGCUCCGUACUUGGAACGGAAGGGCUGCUAGAAUAUAGAUUCUCUUCUUUGCUUACAAAGCAGGCAUUCGCCUAAGGCACAAAGGAAUUGAUCUGAUUUGGCAGCAGUAGAUGGUGCUUCUUUGCUCUGCACAGUGGAAUCUGUUCAAUUUUAGCAGGGCCAGACGGAUCCACUUCACCUACAGGUAAAAAAAACAGCACUGAUUUGCUUUUACCUUAUAUUCAGCCCCACGACACAACACGUUUGUUUGUUUGUUAUAUACUCCCCCUCACCCCAUUUCCCCAAAGCAGAGAUGGACUUCUGGGCCCAAGCUCUGAGGUGAGCGAGUGCUCUUCUGCUAUGAAAUGAGAAGCCAACCUCAGCCUGGGGUGAAGUGAUCUACAGAGUGGCCUCCUCACGUGUUUUCUUUAAUCUAUAUAAGAAUUCUGCCUUCCAGUGAUGCAUCUUUUUCUCUUUUCAGUGUUGAGAGCUACACUGAUUGUGUUAUUUGGUGCUACAGGAAUGCAAAAUAUGAGAAAAAGGACUCUAAAUGGUUAUUAAUCUUUUGGCAUCCACAGGUGAAGGUAAUUUCUUGGAAGAAGUCUACUUUACAAGGAGACAGACCAUAGGGUAUAAUAUUGUCUUCAACCUGGGGAUACCAUUGAUUUAUCAUUUGAUUAUGUUCUGAUGAUGUCUUGGAAGAUGAGAUGAAGAAGGGCUGACCCUUGGCUUUAAGUUGCAGUAGAUAACAGUUACUGGGCAUAUUGUUGAGCGGACACUGAGAGUCUAGCACACUUUAUAGUCACCGUGAGGCAAUCUUAUCUCAGUUCAGUAGCAAACUCUGUAAGAAGCCAAAGGAAUCUCUGACUAAGAGAUGGGCAUAUAUCAACAGAAAUGCCUUCAUUCUUUACUGUAAUAACUUUGAUAUUUUAAAAUCUCUUGGUCUCUUUCUGAGAAAUUAUGUUAUUUGAGGUGCUUUUUCUGUUCUUUGUCAUUCCUUCUCGUUCAGUUUCUGCUCCUCCUGCUAUCACUGCAAUGUUCUAAUGCAAUCUGCUUUGCUUGAAGUGCUGAAGCUACUCAUCUUUCCCACCUAAUCUUCUGAAGAUAAAAAUACCUCAUUAGCAGCAGCUGUGAUUCUUUGAGGCCUAUGGAAACAUUUCAGAUGUUCAUCAUGGAUUUCCUUUUAAAAUAGGUGCUGAACUGAAUAUUUAUAAAUCGGACACACAUUUUAUAACUCCAUCCCAAUACCGUUACAACCAAUAGGAACAGAGGCGACCCACAGUCCCACAGCUCCUAUGACAGUGUCGUUGCUGGGACAAUGUUGUACAUGUAGUCCAUCUUUCUCUGUGCUCACAUCCACUACUUGGUCUCCAUUAAAUGUUCAGCAAGCAUCAGUGAAUGCCAAUGGGUGCCAUUUUUUUUCUGAAUGGAGAAAUUCAAUCACACUCUUUUGCUUCAUUCAUACUUCCAUGUCAGACACCAUUCUGUCAGACUGCCCCUCUGCUGCCACCUGUCAUACAGCAACAAUAUGUAACAGAAUAUUGGUGGGAAGGUUCAACCUCAACUGCCAUACCACCAACAUCCGCCUCCUACAUCACUAUCUGGGCCAGCAUAAUAACAUAGGAGGCAUUACUUUUGGAGUAGCCUUUGUAUAUUCCUUCAUGUUCCCUCAUGCCUUUAGUGAAUAGGUGGGGACGUGAUGCUGCAAGAGGAGACUGGGAACAGGUUUGAGUAAACCUUGCUAAUGAUAAAGGUAGAAAAGUCCCAGUGAAAAUGGCAUGCAGUGAUGCAUCUUUUGGCGUCAAACUUAAUAAAAGUUGAAAACAAGCCAGGCAAAAUUCUGUCCAGACUAUCUGUAAUUAAUAGAUGUUGUUAACUCUGGCUUGCUGCCUUCACUCCUCUCUUAAAAUUCGAUAUGGUAUUUCUCUAUUAUAUAGAAAGUAUUUUUCUGUUAGAACAUGGUUGGUAGAUUGUGUUCAAUUACAGUAAUUUAUCCGUAAAUUACCCUUCCAUAUUCUGUUAGUAAUAUUAUGCAGCUCUAAAAUGUGAAGGCCUUAAUGCAUACUGGGAGCCUUAGCAAGUCAUGAAAGCCCAUAGGAAGUACUCAUACUAAUAAGCCUACAGCCUGAAAUAAGCAGGUGAAAGGCAUGAGAGAGAAUAUGAUUUUUCUGUAGAAGACCGUAUUUUCCUUAAAAUGAUGUGACCUGAAAGAUAUCUUUUAAGUCCUGUUAUCAGUUUGCUGUUUGAGCAGAAGAAACUUCUAGUAAGGCUGGAGACGACAGGUUUUACAGGGUUUCUCUCUGAGUAAUGACAGACUAUAGCUGAAAAGCUUAGAGAAUUUCUGAGCUCAGUUUUUCUAUUGAGAGAGAUAAGAGGAAGGAGGUAUUGUUUGUAGUAGUGAGAGAGAGCUCUGCAGCUCAGCCAUAUGGGCUCUGUGCUUACACAUGGUUUGGCUCUGCGGGGGACAUCGUUGUCCAACCUGUCAAAGCUGAGGAUGCAGCAAAAAUUACUGAUGUAACCAUUUCUUUUGGAACAACAACCAAUUUGUACAAAGCCUUAGCCUUUCAAUCUGGCUAAUGAGAGUUCAUUGGCAGACAAAAACAACGCUGAAAUUUUAGGUAUUUUUUGUCUCUGAAGGAUUUGAGUUUUCUUUACAUCACCUUGAUUAUAAAAGUUAGGCUUUUAAAAUUGUUUUAGUUAAGUGCACUUAUUUAGCUGCUUUCUGGCAUAUGGAAUUCACAACUCUACCUGGACAGUGCUUAACACUUUGUAUGCCAAUGCAUGUAUCAGCUGAUCAACUUGAAAUCACCUGCUAUAAAGAAAGGUCAGUAACAAAGAUGACACUUAAAGACUAGGCUAAUAGCCUCUCUUUUUAAAUGUGCUUUCACCUUUAACAGGUAGUAUUUGUCUAAUUUGCAAGCCCCAGUAUGCUGCUGAAACAGCACUUGGGAACAGUGUGGACAAACAGGGUCUGUACUUGAGACAAACUGCAGCUAGACUGAGUUGUUCAAAGUAUCUUCAUCGGACACAGAUCCUCCACAGUGACAAAAGCAUCUUCUAGACAAAUGUCUCCAGCCCUAAGGGGGAAGAUUUCCAUCCUCUCUGGCAGCUCCACAGCUUUGAUUGUGGAAUGGGAAUAAAUACUGCCAAAGAGGGACAAAAUUUCCAGCUCAGCUUUCUUGUUUCUUAAUUUACACGUCUUGCUGCACCUUCAGUAAUAACUAAUUUCUGAACUGCAUUUUUCCAAGUCCUCUAUGGAAAAGAAAAAAAAAAAAUGUGGUUUUGAAUAAAUGUCUUGUUAUUAGGAAUUAACUGUUUGUUGUAAAAAGGAGAGUUCUAUCUACUUCUAGUUAAGAUCCAACUUGCCGUACAGUUUAGAGGUUGAUGAAAAUGCUACUUUAAGUCCACCUUGGCAGAAGGAAUAUUAUAAUAGUUGUGCUUAUUGAUCAUCAACAUUGUUGAUGAAGUAAGUAUUUGUCAUUCAUGAUUGGGCACACAUGUUGAAGCCUUAGCUGAAAGCCUUUUAUUCUUUCUUUAAGUAUGGGGAAGGGAACAGAAAAUGCGAGAGAAAGCAAGUAGAUUUAUUUUCAGCAAAACCAUAUGUUUUUUGUUACUUUGAGUUUUUCUGCAAAUCAUCUAAAAUGGUACUAGAAGCUGCCUGUUGUUUUCGAAUGUGGUGAGUAAAUCUGAAAAAAAAAAUAAUAAUGAAGUUUUGGGUAAUGAAUGCAUACACAGUUGUUGGUGUCGAUCAUCUUGAGUGAGGUUUCCUUUUUCAAAUUCCCAGCAAAAAUAAAGAAGUUUGGAACUCA